rnacentral:rRNA from 1 species
UGGGGAAUAUUGCACAAUGGGCGCAAGCCUGAUGCAGCAACGCCGCGUGAGGGACGACGGCCUUCGGGUUGUAAACCCCUUUUAGUAGGGAAGAAGCGGAAGUGACGGUACCUGGAGAAGAAGCGCCGGCUAACUCCGUGCCAGCAGCCGCGGGAAUACGGAGGGGGGUAGCGUUGUCCGGAAUUACUGGGCGUAAAGCGCACGUAGGGGGUUUGGCAGGUCGCGGGGGAAAUCCCGGGGCGUAACCUC